CGACUACAUCAGUUGUGUGCCAAUUUCCAAAGGUAGUGCAAGCUUGUCUCUAGUGUUCAGUGUGGUCCGUUCGUGCCAUGAAGCUACAAGUAUUGUGUGUGUGCGCGCUGCUCUGUGCUGUGGCGUGUCGCAGUCUGGAUGAGGGGCGACAGGGACACAUCCCGACUGAGCAGCUUGAUGACGGUAUUUUCAAAAGCAGAGCGAAAAGAUGUGUCGUCAAUUGUAUUAUUCAAUGUAGUAAAGGGUCCGUGCUAUUGUUGGAUAGAUGUAUAACAUGUGAAGACUAUGAGCAGGUACAGGGCGAAAAAUGCCCGGCGACAAAUCGUUGAAAACAAGGAUUUACUACAACGGAGUCAUCUUGGUGACCAGGCAGGAAAGAACUCGCUCCCGGUGCGCCAACUUAGAGAAAACAUACCAAAGACGUCGUAAUUAAGUAUUACGCUUUCAAAGGACUACGACGGCCCGGAAGACUACCUUACUUAUUUUUAUCAUUCAAGAAUAAUAUUUCGCCCAUGAAAAAAUAAUAUUAAUGUUAUGUAAACUAAUCCUUAUUGUAUUAAAUGAUGUAAUUGUAAACAUUAGGUAAUAUAAACACAUUAAACUUUCAUAAAUUUAAAUUAAUGUUAAGUAAUAUGAUUUAGUUCUGUUUGUUUAUGUGCCGUUCUCGCUUUUACGAUGUCAACACAGUCUCAACACAGUGUUAGCGCAAUCGAUGCGUCGGAACACGUGUCUUGCGCCUUAUUGCUCAAAUCAACCUGACUUGCUCAAUUUAUUUAUACUUAAUUUGAAUAAAUAUUUAAUAACAUUAAGUUGUAUUUUGAUAUAAAAUUAUCUCAGACUAAAUGAAGACAAUAUAUAAAUUUAUUAUCUCUGUUUCUAAAAUAAUAAAAUAUAUAGAAAAAUAAAUACAUUUCUAUGUAUAUUUUUUAAAUUAUCAUAUACUUCAUAAGUACACCUCACGUUGCUCCAUAUUAUUUCGUUUUCUCUUAUACCCAUCACAUGGUUACCUUAUAAGACCGCCAUUUGUACGAUUUCUCUUUUCUUAUUCCAUAAUUUAUGUCUCUGGUGUACAAUAAAGUGUAAAUAAUAAUUAAAAUAUUGCAAAUAAAAUGUUUAUUGCUAUUCAUA